AUGACUGAGCAUCCCCCAGUCAGAGGGGCCCUGCAGCGCGUGGCAGCCACCAACAGCCAAGGAUGCGGAAGGGAAGCGCGGAGAGCGGAGCGGAGAGGCGGCGGCGCCCGAGGCUGCAGCGACCACCCCCACGCCGCCCGCCCGCGAACUCGCCGCGGGUGCUGGGCCGCGCUGGCCGCGUUUGAAGUCUCCGGCGCCGCUGCUGGUUGGCCGGCUCGGGUCACGUGCACCCAGGCAGGAGUUUCCCCGACAGCUGGAGGCUGCGUGGGAUCCGGCGGCGGCUCCGGAGCUCGGCGGUGCGGCCUUCCCCGCCCCCUCCUCCCUCCUCCCCCGCCCGCUUCCGCCCGGCUUAUUAUCCUCCUUAUUGACAAACAGAGCGGCCGCGGCGGCGACUCUCCGCGUGCAUCUGUAGCCAAGCCAUGGGAGACAAGAAGAGCCCCACCAGGCCGAAGCGGCAGCCGAAGCCGUCCUCGGAUGAGGGUUACUGGGACUGUAGCGUCUGCACCUUCCGGAACAGCGCCGAGGCCUUCAAGUGCAUGAUGUGCGAUGUGCGGAAGGGCACCUCCACCCGAUCCACAUUCUUUGAAGCUAUUGUGAAUGCCUCGAGGACCAAGGAACCGUUGAAAUUUCCAAUUUCAGGAAGAAAAUGACCUUCAUAUACAAAAGUAAAGCCACAAGAAUAACCAAGACAGGUCCGAAAGAAGAAAAAGAACAAUGAGGAGGGGAUUGUGCCAUUGGAUAGCAAGACUGAUAUUAAACUUGGCAGUGUUUAGAAUGGAUCGCAAUGACAAUAAAUUGCUACACACAGCAUGGGAUGAAUCUCCCAUGCUUAACGUUGAGCAAAAGAAAUGAGAAAAUAUUACGUAUUGUAUGAUUUCAUUCACAGGAAGUUCAAAAACAAGUAGAAGGAAGGGUGCAUGGCCGGCUCAGUCAGUGGUGUAGCAUGCAGCUCUUGAUCUCAGGGUUGUGGGUUCAGGCCCCACAUUGGGCGUGGAGCCUACUUAAUUACAAAAAAAAAAAAAGCAUAACUAAUCUAUGGUGAUAGAGGUCAGCAUAGUGAUUUUCUUGGAAAUAUGGUACUGAUUGGGAGGGAGCAUUCUAGAGCAUGAGAAAUGUUAAUAUUUUGAUCUGGGUUGGAUCACAUUGAGGGUAUAUAAUACUUAAAAAAUCAAACUGUAUACUUUAUGUAAAUUAUACCUCAAAAAAGUAAAAUAUAAAUUUAUGAUAUUUAAAGUAGUAUAGUCUUGGGGCGCCUGGGCGGCUCAGUCAGUUAAGCAUCUGACUUCAGCUCAGGUCAUGAUCUCACGGUUCGAAGAGUUUGAGCCCCGUGUCCGGCUCUGCUGAUAGUUCAGAGCCUGGAGCCUGCCUCGGAUUCUGUGUCUCCCUCUCUCUGCCCCUCCCCUGCUCAUGCUUUGUCUCUGUCUCACAAAAAUAAAUAAAAUGUUAAAAAAAAUUUUAAAGUAGUAUAGUCUUAAUACAGGAAAAGGCGGAUUAAUAGAAUCGAGAGUUCAGAAAUCGAUUUAUACAUAUUUGAAAAGUUGGUAAGUGCUAGAGAUGGCAUUUUCUAUCAGGGAAACAGAGUGGACUCUUUAAUUGGUUUUCCAUAUGGGAGGGAAGACAGGUCUCUACUUCAAACCAUAUGCAGAAAACAGUUCUGUUUCAACUUUACACUAAGAACAAACAACUGUUUAAUAAGGAAGAAAAUACAGAAGACUGUAGGUCUUUACGGGGCGCCUCAGUGGCUCAGGUGGUUAAGUAUCUGACCCUUGAUUUUGGCUUGGGUCAUGAUCUCAUGGUCAUGAGAUCAAGUCCCACAUUGGGCCCCACAUGGAGCAUGGAGCCUGCUUGGAAUUCUAUCCCUCUCUCUCCCCCUUCUGUACUUGUGUGCAUAUUCUCUCUCUCUCUCUCUCUCUCUCUCUCUCUCUCUCUCUCUCUCUUCUUUCUCUCUAUCAAAAAAAUAAAAAGAAUAUGUGUCUUUAGGAUGUGUGAGGCUUUAACAAGUCAAGAAAAGAAUGAACCUUUGAAGAUAAAGACAUCAGAGAUAAAGGAUCCAACUACUUCAGAAAGAAAACCUUAGGUUUAAUAAAAUACAUCACAAAUUAACUCAUAUAUAAGUGGCAUGACUGGGAGUUAGGUGCAAUGUCUACAAUAUUCAGUGGAUUCGUGCCCAGAAUAUAUGAAGAUGAAAAUAAUAGGACAGAUGAUACAAAUGCAAAUAAAGUGAACAAUGGAUAUUAAGGCAAUUCACAACAGAGGAAAGGAAAUUGGAAUGGCUAAUGAACUGGAAAGAUGCUUAGUCUCAUUUGCAGUGAAAUGCAAUUAAAAACUUAUGAGCCAUCAAUUUUCACCCAUUAGCUCAGGAUCGGGUAAGUGUUACACAGUUGAAAAUGUGCAUAUCCUCGUAUCCAGAAGGUAUUCAAGAUAUUAUUAGUUUAGAGAAAGUGGCACAUUUGCCCAGGGAGAUUUCUAUAGGGAUGUUCAUUUGGAAAAAAAUCUAAAUGUCUGUCUGUAAGAGGCAUGGAUAAAUAAGAAAUAAAAUAGUUAUAUUAACAGAGAUUUACCAAAUCUGCUUAGAUUAUCAUCAUUCGUGACUUUUUUAUAUUUCAAGAAAAAAAGUUACACUGUCUAUGCCCAGGAAUUCUUUUAAGCAUUUAUAAACAUGAAUUAUUUUAGUCCUCGUAAGAACUCAGAAAUUGGUACAAUCAUUAUAUCCAUUUUACGUAUGGGAAUACUGAAGCAUAGAGAAGUAAAUAACUUACCACUUUCAAAGGUGGUAAAUAGCAGAGCUGUGAUUGAAAGCUAGGAUUUGAAUCUUACUUGACUGGCUCCAUAGUCCACUAUGCCAUGCUGCCUUCUGAUAUAGUUAAAUAAGGAGACCUCAGAAAUGUAAUGUGAGGUCAAAGCAGAACGUUGUGUACAGUGUGAUCUCACAUCAAAUUCAUGAUGGUAGUCACUUCUGGAUAGGGUUGGUAGGAGAAGAAGAUCUUAGUGAUAGUGGUAAAAGGAAGCUGUAUGGAACUACAUGUUUUUCCUUAAAGAAUAUGUAUAUUUAUAGCUUUUAAACACCUAGAUUUAAUGUAUGUAUAUUUUUACAAAAGUAAAAACUGGAAGGAUUGACCUAAUUGUUUUAAUCUGCAUUUAUUCUUGAUAUUGGUUUGUAGUAGAAAAAGAAAGCAGUGGCCCUAGCACAAGGACCGUGAUUUAGUUUAGUUCUGAGAUAGCAGAUGAGUGCCAGACACCGGGUUAGGUCCCAACAAUAGGGAGGUGGUGAAUAGGUUUCAUCUUCUCUCUUUAAGGAAAUUAAAGUUUUUCAGGGAAAGAGAUAAAUAAUUAUAAUUUACUGUGUUACGUACAGAUCUGUUUUCUUUUUGUUUUCCCUAUUCCCACCUUCCCUCUAAAUACAAAUAGGAGAAAGGGGAAACAUUGUGAUUUGGGGUAUGGGAAACAGGCAGUGAAAUGUCAGUGGUGAUCCUAUUCCCUGUUCUUUUACAAAACUCCAGAGAGUAAACUCUAAUGGUCAGAGAUCGUAGCUUGUUCAUGAAUUUAGGAUAAUCUGGGUGCUUAACUGGUGAAUAACUGGUAUAUUUCACUCUCAAAUUAACUAGCACCUGAACCCAAAUUUCUCCUUAGCCAUCUGGAUGUCUUCCAUUGGUUCUGUUUCUGCAGUUGGUUACCGGAAGUCUAUGGUAGUUUGACUAAGAACACUGUAUGAAGCGUUAAAUUGUUUUGUGCUAAAGAACUUUGACUUGAGAAAUAUUUUAAUUUGUAGGAAAUUUUGGAUCUCUAAAAUCCAAUUUUCUUUUCAUUUUUAAUAAUUUUAAGUCUUUUUUUUUAAAGUUUAUUUUGAGAGAGAGAGAGCACCCAUGAGCAUGUAAGAGCAAGAGAAGGGCAGAGAGUGGGAGAGAAUCCUAAGCAGGCUCCACACUGCCAGUGCAGAGACUGACCCAGGGCUCCAUCUCAUGAACCGUGAGAUCAUGACCUGAGCCAAAAUCAAGAGUUGGACUCCUUUUUUUUUUCCCCCCACUUUUUAAAAAUGUUUAUUUAUUUUUGAGAGAGACACAGAGAGAGCGUGAGCAGGGAAGGGGCAGAGAAAGAGAGGGAGGCAGAAUCUGAAGCAGGCUCCAGGCUCUGAGCUGUCAGCACAGUUCAGAUGCGGGGCUCAAACCCAUGGACCGCGAGAUUGUGACCUGAGCCAAAGUAAGUUGAUUAAUCUACUGAGCCAUCCAGGUACCCCAAGAGUCCGACUUCAACUAACUGAGCCACCCAGGCACUCCCAAUUUUAUUUUCAUUGUGCGGAGUCCAAUACAUUUUUUUAAAACUAGUAGUCUUCCAAUACUGGGAUAGUACAAUUGUUUUUCUGUAUUCUCUUUGAGUCAGUGCUGUCUUGUACAAGUGUUUAUGUUCUUAUUUAUGAAAUUCUUAAUUUCCUAAAGCCAUAUUGUCUUCAAAUUUCUAGAUGGACCAUGGACUGUGAAAUGGUAUUAGUGUUCAUAGUAUGAGAAUCCCAGUGUCUUCUAAAGUCUGUCAUAGUAUCUCAUAAAAAAUAGUUACUGUUAUUUGCUUUCACCCUAGUGAGAGAGGUGUAUUUUCCUUGAUAGAAAAUUAGAAUCUGUGUUAGGUGAGAAUCUUUUCCAAAAGGGCGAAUGUGAAUAUCUAUUUUUUCUUAAGUUUAUUUAUUUAUUUUGAGAGAGAGAGCAGGGGAGGGGGAGAGAGAGAGGGAGAGAAAGAGAGGAUCCCAAGCAGGCUCCACGCUGUUAGUGCAGAGCCUGACGUGGGGCUCGAACUCAGAAAACCAUGAGAUCAUCACAGAACGUGAAACCAGUAGUCAGAUGCUUAACCAACUGAGCCACCUGGGUGCCCCGCAAAUGUGAAUAUCUUAAAAAUUGCUGAGAAUGGGUAAAUUUGAAUAAAUCAUAAUGAAAAGUG